rnacentral:lncRNA from 1 species
CAUUCGCCAUUGUUUAUGCCCUCGUAGUGACUCGUUGCCAGAUCGGACAUUUUCUCGUGAUAUUCAGUGUGAAACAGACGAAUUCACCAUGUAAUCUGUCAAUUUCUAUCUUCUCCCUCGGUGUCCAAUGAAAGUACCACGGCUUGCCGCGAAACUGAUCCAACCUGUCAUUUUCUAUUGAACUUAUAAAUACAACAGCGGGUUACCAAUGUCACAUAUUUGUGUUAGUUACCAUCAGCAAACGUACUGUUAACAACCAUCUUCGCGAUUUAAACAAAAGAAACACAUAACUAGGAAACGGUGCUGAUUUUUGGUUUCCGGAAUGACUUAAUUAACCUCGUCGGUGUUGGGAGCGUGACCUUUCUCGAGGGUGGAGAUACUGUUAACGUUUGUGUGAAGAAGGAAACGUGUUUCCAUCAUGUGGAAUUUUGGUGUUUUGUUAGUUGGUAUCAGUGUGGUGGUGGUUAGUGCGGGUAUGGAUAUUCUUCCUUCAUCCUCCAUAGUGACGUCAUCACCAAACAUAAGACCCUCCAAUGAAACAGCGACCCCCGUGUCUAAGGACGUAAAUGAAAGGCAAAUCGAAGACACUUCUGCGACGGAUUUUGUAGAUGAGAUGCUCAACCUUUUCGUUCAGUUUGUCAGCAAUGAUAAAGAUGCAAGUUCGAUCGGUCAAGAAGAGUCUAAACUGGUUAACAAUGUAUCUGAAGGCAGAGGAGUUGGCCGGCUAAAGAAAUUCCUACUACCAUUCCUGUUGGGCGUCUCAAUGAAGACGAAAGCUGUGAUCAUAGCGGCCAUCGGGUUCCUGAUGGUUCUCACGAAAAUCACGUUCAUCAAGAGCAAGAUAGCGCUCGUGAUCGGAGUGGGUCUGCUCCUGUACCACCUUUACGUGAAGAAACACGCCAUCCACCACAUCAAGCACGCCCUCCACCACCCGGUGCCGUACGACGUGUCGCCCGCCUGGUCGGCGCCCCUCGCCGCUUGGGCCAUCCCCGAUUGGGGCGCUGCAGCCGCCCUCCCCGCCGCCGGCCACCUCGCCGCCGCCCACUACGUCCCCCACAUCCUCCGCAAAACGUCCCACGAGCAACCGACCCGAUUCCGCAGAUGAUCAUCCCCCAUGUUCCCGAUUUAGGUUAGGUAAUUUAUUUCUUAGUAAUUAGUCGAUUCUGUAAAAUACACCAUCAUUCCUAUCAAAGAAUUUUAUUCCACUAAGUCGUUUCACCCCUACCUCAGUAGCACUGACUAUAAAUGUUGAACUCAGAAAGAAAGAAAAAAUCAAAUUGAUGAAAUGUACCAUGUUACCGAAACCCAUUUUUCAAUUAAAAUUCACGGAAAAUACACUUUUGAAAAAUAAUUAAAAAAUUGGCAUAACAAUUUCGUGAAGUUCUAAAAAUCAUUCAUAAUUAGUGUUUACCAUCAGCUAAGCACAACCACAAAAUAUGUAUAACAUAAUGAAACUAAAAAUGUAAAAUUGUUGGUAAAAUUUACUAAAAUAGAGUGAUAUAUAUACCUGUAAAAGUUUAGGGUGGCCUUUUUACGCACAGGAGAACAAAAUGGGUUUCCCAAGUCGGAUGUUCUAACAGUUUUUCAGUUUUCUCUUCGAAAUUUACGAGUUUGUUUGACUAUUUUUUCAUGGUCAACGCUAAAAAAGAAGUUAAAUAUUG